rnacentral:rRNA from 1 species
UGGUUGUCGUCAGCGUCGUGGCCGUGAGGUGUCGGGUUAAGUCCCAUAACGAGCGCAACCCCUACCUUUAGUUGCCAUCAGGUUAAGCUGGGGACUCUAAAGGAACUGCCUACGCGAAGUAGUGAGGAAGGCGGGGAUGACGUCAAAUCAGCACGGCCCUUACGUCCAGGGCUACACACGUGCUACAAUGGCCGAUACAGAGGGCAGCUACCUGGUGACAGGAUGCAAAUCUCCAAAGUCGGUCUCAGUUCGGAUCGGAGUCUGCAACCCGACUCCGUGAAGUUGGAUUCGCUAGUAAUCGCGCAUCAGCCAUGGCGCGGUGAAUACGUUCCCGGGCCUU